rnacentral:rRNA from 1 species
UACGAAGGGGGCUAGCGUUGUUCGGAAUCACUGGGCGUAAAGCGCACGUAGGCGGACUUUCAAGUCAGGGGUGAAAUCCCGGGGCUCAACCUCGGAAUUGCCUUUGAUACUGUAGGUCUCGAGUCCGGAAGAGGUGGGUGGAAUUCCUAGUGUAGAGGUGAAAUUCGUAGAUAUUAGGAGAACACGGUGGCGAAGGCGGCCCACUGGUCCGGUACUGGACGCUGAGGUGCGAAACGUGGGGGAGCAA